GAAAGACAAAGUCAAGGAGAAGAAUUUAUUCUAGAGCUAUAUUGUACGAGACACAAAUAAUGUUUGGAAAUUAUGGAAACUAUUAUAGUGAGAAGGGAGGUAGAAUGCAGGUUAAGAUUUUUUCAGUGGUCCACAUUGUUAGCGGCUUCUUUGGGGAGUUAUCUAUAUAUAUAGAAAUGAAUUGCUGUUCGUUAGUCUCGCUAAAACUCGAGAACGGCUGGACGGAUUUGACUAAUUUUGGUCUUAAAUUAUUUGUGGAAGCCCAGAGAAGGUUUAAAAGGUUAUCUUCUUGCAAGUUAUAUUCCCGGUCGAUUCAGCGUCUGAACGAAGAAAACGACAGACGUGGAGAGGUUUUCUUGACACCAUGAAGGAGUUUGGCAGUAAAGUAAUGUCGACUGCUCAGAGUGCUGGAACGAGCAUGAAGUCCGUCUUCAGCAAGGCUGGAAGGUGGCUCCAGAGUAAUUUAGGAUUUGAUUAAGUUAAAUGGAACUAAAAAAGGCAAUUAGUGAUUUUGUGUAAACUCUUUUAAAAAAAAAUUGUUAUUGAACUAAUCGAUAAUUAAUAGAGAAGGAAAGGAAUGUGUCAUUUAUAAUACUUAUUUUAGCUUUUGUAUUUUAUAAAGUACUUCUUAUAGGUAUUGCAAUGGCCAGUAAGACGUUAGUCUAGUGUUUUUAUUAUUUUAGAUUUGUGUUCCAUUGCUGCCAGGGUUAUUAGGAUGAGACCGAUGAGGUUGAGGUUAACAGUAUAAAAAUUUGGUAAUUAUUUACAUCCACGUAAUUUCCAUGUUAAGAGAAUUACAAUAAAAAACGAUUUUAUAUUUUUUUGUAAAAUCGUUUGAUUUAUCAUUUUAAAUAGUUUUAUAUUAAUAAAAUACUAUCGCCCUUUAAAUAUUAUUAUUUAUUGAAUCAGUUAUUUUCGUUGUUACAACGCUGAAACUAUGGCUACAUUAAACCAGUAUAUAUGGGUACAUAAAUCAGUUCCCAUAAUCAUUUUGUUAUUGUUGAAUUGAAGUACAGUUGUCACCUCCGCCGGUGAACGCCCAUUACCCAAUUCACGCGGUGACCAAAAAUAGCGCCGAUAUAUUCUUGAUUGAUUUGACUUAGUGUGUGCGUUUGCGUUUUUGUAGCUUUAUAUUUAACAUUAAAGACACUAUAUAUGAUGAUCAUUAGUAAUUUGAUCAUUAGUAUUACUAAUUUAAUUGGAAUUUCUUGAAAGAAAAAUUUGUAGCUUUGUAAAAUUGUGUCAUAUUUUUUUAUAGCCAAUUAUUGACGUUUCGAUUUAAAGAGAAUUUUAAUUGUUUUUAAAUAAAAUUUCAGUUAUUGAUUUAAAAA